rnacentral:lncRNA from 1 species
AGACGAAAGGCGCCGACAGGGGGCGUGGGAGCAAAAAGGAAGGCGCGCUCACAGCACUUUUUGCUAAGGGUUGAGUACCAGGAAGAGGAGUUCUUUGAAAUGAAAUGGAGCAAACCUCUGGACAGCAAGAAAGCAUAUUCCUAGAAUAUGAGAUACUUUGUAAGCGCCUGCAUAGCCUCGCAAGAGACGUACAGCUUGUUCCUUAAACUGAAUGUCUGUAAAACGUCUUCCCCAUGUAACAGUCAUACUAAGGGCUGCAUUGGUUUGCGUACAGAGAAGAUUCAGGAUGGAGCCUAAUGUGUCCUGAGCUUUCCAGUAAGCAGGAGAUCACUAUGACGUUCUGUCUCAAGGAGGAAAGAGUCAAUGGAAGGUCCGUGUGUUAAACAGAAUCACCAUGUGACCUGGCAACUUCACUCAAUGUAUGUACCUAAGAAAAAUGAAAAAUCAAUGUCCACACUGCAGUUGAGAGUAACCUAAAUGUCAUCGUCUAACAAAUGGACCAGACGUGGUAGAUCCUUGAACGGACUGUUUAGCCAUAAAGGAGCAACGUGUUGAUACAGAUUACAAAUCAGACGAACUCCGAAAACACACAAAGUGAAAAGAUGCCAGACACAAAAGGUAACACAAUGAACAUCCAGAAUAGGCCAUCUACAGAGGAACAAAAAGAGAUUGGUGAUUACCAAGGACAACCAGGAGGAGAGGGAAGAGGCUGCUCACAGGUAGCUCUUCUCUGGAGUCGGUGGUAAUUGCUGCUACUACACUGAUUUGUGCAUUAUCCAUUUUUGGUUUAUGUAUUCAGUGUAUGUGUAUGUAGAGGGCACAUGUGUGUAUAUGCCUGAGGCUAACCCUAUGUCUCCUCAACCACUCACCUCAUUCACUGAGCCAGAGUCUCUCAAUGGAGUCUGGAGCUCUGUUUUGACUAGUAGGGCUAGCCUGAUUAUUCCAGGGAAUCCUUGUCUCUGCCUCUCACAGGAAUUUUAGGCAAGCUGCCAUGUACAUCAGGAGAUGUAUAUAAAUUUUUUUUGAAUCCUAGGACUCUAGAUACCUGUCCCUGUACUUGCAUGGCAAACACUUUACCAAUAAAACCAUUUCCCCAGU